rnacentral:rRNA from 1 species
GACGAACGCUGGCGGCGUGCCUAAUACGUGCAAGUGGAACGCAUUGAUAUCACCGGAGCUUGCUCCACCGAUAUAAAUGAGUCGCGAACGGGUGAGUAACGCGUAGGUAACCUGCCUGAUAGCGGGGGAUAACUAUUGGAAACGAUAGCUAAUACCGCAUGAGAGUGUUUAACACAUGUUAGAGACUUAAAAGAUACAAUUGUAUCACUAUCAGAUGGACCUGCGUUGUAUUAGCUAGUUGGUAGGGUAGCGGCCUACCAAGGCAACGAUACAUAGCCGACCUGAGGGGGUGAUCGGCCACACUGGGACUGAGACACGGCCCAGACUCCUACGGGAGGCAGCAGUAGGGAAUCUUCGGCAAUGGACGAAAGUCUGACCGAGCAACGCCGCGUGAGUGAAGAAGGUUUUCGGAUCGUAAAGCUCUGUUGUAGCGGAAGAACGCGUGUAAGAGUGGAAAGUUUACACAGUGACGCUACGUACCAGAAAGGACGC